rnacentral:rRNA from 1 species
CCACCACCAAAGCAUUUGCUGUACCGCGUUGACGGAGCGAAGCGACGUCAAACCGAUAAAACAGCAGUGUAAAGUGAGCCGCAGGGCGCUUUGCGCGACAGCGCAAAGGCAGGCGGUUUCGCGUAGCGAAAGCGAAUGCUUUGGGGUGGGGUGACUGCGUACCUUUUGUAUAAUGGGUCAGCGACUUAUAUUCUGUAGCAAGGUUAACCGAAUAGGGGAGCCGGAGGGAAACCGAGUCUUAACCGGGCGUUAAGUUGCAGGGUAUAGACCCGAAACCCGGUGAUCUAGCCAUGGGCAGGUUGAAGGUUGGGUAACACUAACUGGAGGACCGAACCGACUAAUGUUGAAAAAUUAGCGGAUGACCUGUGGCUGGGGGUGAAAGGCCAAUCAAACCGGGAGAUAGCUGGUUCUCCCCGAAAGCUAUUUAGGUAGCGCCUCGUGAAUUCAUCUCCGGGGGUAGAGCACUGUUUCGGCUAGGGGGCCAUCCCGGCUUACCAACCCGAUGCAAACUGCGAAUACCGGAGAAUGUUAUCACGGGAGACACACGGCGGGUGCUAACGUCCGUCGUGAAGAGGGAAACAACCCAGACCGCCAGCUAAGGUCCCAAAGUCAUGGUUAAGUGGGAAACGAUGUGGGAAGGCCCAGACAGCCAGGAUGUUGGCUUAGAAGCAGCCAUCAUUUAAAGAAAGCGUAAUAGCUCACUGGUCGAGUCGGCCUGCGCGGAAGAUGUAACGGGGCUAAACCAUGCACCGAAGCUGCGGCAGCGACACUGUGUGUUGUUGGGUAGGGGAGCGUUCUGUAAGCCUGUGAAGGUGUGUCGUGAGGCAUGCUGGAGGUAUCAGAAGUGCGAAUGCUGACAUAAGUAACGAUAAAGCGGGUGAAAAGCCCGCUCGCCGGAAGACCAAGGGUUCCUGUCCAACGUUAAUCGGGGCAGGGUGAGUCGACCCCUAAGGCGAGGCCGAAAGGCGUAGUCGAUGGGAAACGGGUUAAUAUUCCCGUACUUGGUGUUACUGCGAAGGGGGGACGGAGAAGGCUAUGUUGGCCGGGCGACGGUUGUCCCGGUUUAAGCGUGUAGGUGUGUGUUCCAGGUAAAUCCGGUUCACUUUAACACUGAGGCGUGACGACGAGGCACUACGGUGCUGAAGCAACAAAUGCCCUGCUUCCAGGAAAAGCCUCUAAGCAUCAGGUAACAUCAAAUCGUACCCCAAACCGACACAGGUGGUCAGGUAGAGAAUACCAAGGCGCUUGAGAGAACUCGGGUGAAGGAACUAGGCAAAAUGGUGCCGUAACUUCGGGAGAAGGCACGCUGACACGUAGGUGAAGUGAUUUACUCAUGGAGCUGAAGUCAGUCGAAGAUACCAGCUGGCUGCAACUGUUUAUUAAAAACACAGCACUGUGCAAACACGAAAGUGGACGUAUACGGUGUGACGCCUGCCCGGUGCCGGAAGGUUAAUUGAUGGGGUCAGCGCAAGCGAAGCUCCUGAUCGAAGCCCCGGUAAACGGCGGCCGUAACUAUAACGGUCCUAAGGUAGCGAAAUUCCUUGUCGGGUAAGUUCCGACCUGCACGAAUGGCGUAAUGAUGGCCAGGCUGUCUCCACCCGAGACUCAGUGAAAUUGAACUCGCUGUGAAGAUGCAGUGUACCCGCGGCAAGACGGAAAGACCCCGUGAACCUUUACUAUAGCUUGACACUGAACAUUGAGCCUUGAUGUGUAGGAUAGGUGGGAGGCUUUGAAGUGUGGACGCCAGUCUGCAUGGAGCCGACCUUGAAAUACCACCCUUUAAUGUUUGAUGUUCUAACGUGGACCCGUUACCCGGGUUGCGGACAGUGUCUGGUGGGUAGUUUGACUGGGGCGGUCUCCUCCUAAAGAGUAACGGAGGAGCACGAAGGUUGGCUAAUCCUGGUCGGACAUCAGGAGGUUAGUGCAAUGGCAUAAGCCAGCUUGACUGCGAGCGUGACGGCGCGAGCAGGUGCGAAAGCAGGUCAUAGUGAUCCGGUGGUUCUGAAUGGAAGGGCCAUCGCUCAACGGAUAAAAGGUACUCCGGGGAUAACAGGCUGAUACCGCCCAAGAGUUCAUAUCGACGGCGGUGUUUGGCACCUCGAUGUCGGCUCAUCACAUCCUGGGGCUGAAGUAGGUCCCAAGGGUAUGGCUGUUCGCCAUUUAAAGUGGUACGCGAGCUGGGUUUAGAACGUCGUGAGACAGUUCGGUCCCUAUCUGCCGUGGGCGCUGGAGAACUGAGGGGGGCUGCUCCUAGUACGAGAGGACCGGAGUGGACGCAUCACUGGUGUUCGGGUUGUCAUGCCAAUGGCACUGCCCGGUAGCUAAAUGCGGAAGAGAUAAGUGCUGAAAGCAUCUAAGCACGAAACUUGCCCCGAGAUGAGUUCUCCCUGAGACUUAAAGUCUCCUGAAGGAACGUUGAAGACGACGACGUUGAUAGGCCGGGUGUG